rnacentral:rRNA from 1 species
UACGUAGGGUGCAAGCGUUGUCCGGAAUUAUUGGGCGUAAAGGGCGCGUAGGCGGUGCGGUAAGUCACCUGUGAAACCUCUGGGCUUAACUCAGAGCCUGCAGGCGAAACUGCCGUGCUUGAGUGUGGGAGAGGUGCGUGGAAUUCCCGGUGUAGCGGUGAAAUGCGUAGAUAUCGGGAAGAACACCCGUGGCGAAGGCGGCUCUCUGGGACGGUACUGACGCUGAGACGCGAAAGCGUGGGGAGCGAACAGG